AUUGAACGCUGGCGGCAGGCCUAACACAUGCAAGUCGAACGAGGGGCGGACGGGUGAGUAAUGUCUGGGAACCUGCCUGAUGGAGGGGGAUAACUACUGGAAACGGUAGCUAAUACCGCAUACCAUCGGAUGUGCCCAUAUGGGAUUAGCUGGUUGGUGGGGUAACGGCUCACCAAGGCGACGAUCCCUAGCUGGUGUGAGAGGAUGACCAGCCACACUGGAACUGAGACACGGUCCAGACUCCUACGGGAGGCAGCAGUGGGGAAUAUUGCACAAUGGGCGCAAGCCUGAUGCAGCCAUGCCGCGUGUAUUAUGAAGGCCUUCGGGUUGUAAAGUACUUUCAGCGGUGAAGCGUUACCCGCAGAAGAAGCACCGGCUAACUCCGUGCCAGCAGCCGCGGUAAUUC
rnacentral:rRNA from 1 species